rnacentral:rRNA from 1 species
GAGUUUGAUCAUGGCUCAGAUUGAACGCUGGCGGCAUGCCUUACACAUGCAAGUCGAGCGGCAGCGCGGGGGCAACCCUGGCGGCGAGCGGCGAACGGGUGAGUAAUACAUCGGAACGUGUCCUUUCGUGGGGGAUAACCAGUCGAAAGACUGGCUAAUACCGCAUGAGAUCUCACGAUGAAAGCGGGGGACCGCAAGGCCUCGCGCUAACAGGAUGAGCCCAAGUCGGAUUAGCUAGUUGGUGGGGUAAAAGCCUACCAAGGCGACGAUCCGUAGCCUGGUCUGAGAGGACGAUCAGCCACACUGGGACUGAGACACGGCCCAGACUCCUAC